GGCGCCUCCGGGCGAGCCGCCAUUUUGGGCCCUGGGGCAGGGGUGUGGGGGCACCUCCAGCGCCUUGUUCCGGAAUGUUGGAGCCUGUUCCCUGCUGACCGGCUGAAAUAGCCUCUCCACGUAAAUAAAUUAUCCUCCAAUUCCUGCAAUUCUUCUGUCCACGCUGAGUUGCAGCUCCUGGGGCAAACCCUUGCAAAGAGGAGUGAAGGUGUCACUCAGAGAUGGCUGCCUAGCAGGUUGGGCAGAGCUGCCACCACCAUCACUGAUGAAAACACACAGAAAAGGGGAAAAGGAAAAUACCUGCAAACGUCCUAAUGCUGCAAGGAUGCAGUGAGGGGCAAGGCAGCGACUGGAUGUGAGAACCAGAGCUGUGUGAGGCUGAAUUGACCUUUAAUGAAAACCAAUAAUCAGCUGCUUAGUCUGAAAGCUCGUCAUGCCAGGAAUAUUCUUUAUUUCCCCAGGGUUUGUUCCCCCAACACGCUGUGGGUGGUCACGCAGCCGUACCCAUCCCACAGAGAGCAGCUGAACAACUCCAGCACACAAGCGAGCGUUUUGUAGCCCAUGACCUUUAAUAUCAAAAGCACAUUUCUCUCUCCAUCCCGGGGGUCAAGGGGAUGAUAGUCACCAGCUUUUGCAGUUUUCUGCAGCAAUUAGCCACUGCUCUCCUUCUUGGGGACUGAGACAUUAUCAGACAUUUGCCGUGGAAGAGGUUUGGGGUUUUUUUUUCUGUGCGAAAUCAACAAAAGAAUUAAAUAAAGGAAGCAUUGCGAAGUCCUGUACAUUUCUGUGGGUUUACUCAGAACAGAUUUAACGCAAUUUCACAGCUUUUAGCUGGGAAGUUAAAUAAACGCAAACAAAACUAAUUUAAAUAAUAUUUUUAAAAUAAACUCCCCUUUAGCCCUCAGAAAUAGUAGCCUCCAUACUUGAACAGUGCUGUAAAGCAGACGAAUUUAAAGGCAGUGCCAUCUGACUGGGUUUGCUUUCACUUGCAAGGCACAGCCUUCCCCUCCCUCAGCAAUUAUCAGCAGUGUCCAGGCUGCUGUCCAUGAUAAUGCUGUGCAACUCAAGGGUGAUGGAGGCCCUGAUGAAGGAGGUGUAAAAGAAAAUAGAACUUCACGUCUGCAAAUCGAUUCUGCAGUUUUCCAAUUUCCCCAUUCGGCAGCGGCACGGCCUGUGAAAUUGUCCCUAGAAAUAUAAAACGAAGGGCUGGAGAAUUCCUCCACUCUUGCCUUUUAGCAAAUGACAUUGCCUGAUACAGUUCAUUUCCUUCGGUGUGGGCGCGUGGGCUGGGCUGGAUGAGUGUUCAAAAUGCAGAAGUCAAAUGUAGAAUGUUUUUUAAUACAGAUCCCACACUGAACAAGCCCUUUGGAGCACAAGCUUUUCUCGAAAUAGCUUAUCUUUGUAUGUUUUCUGGUGGAGCAAAUAAAUUGCCAUACAAAUAGGUUUAGAUGUGCUUUAAGAGGCUUCAGUAGCAGGAUUUUCACUUGGACUGAAGCCUUUCUCAAGUGUAAUAACACCAUCACCCCCUCCCCUCUAUGGAAACCUCCAUUAGAACUCCCAAGCACUCAGAGGGUGUAGAACUGAGAAGCAUUCCCAUGGAAGUCCAGGGAUCUGGAUUUCCCCCCCAGCUCUGCAUAUUAUUCACUGGAUUUCUGAAGGGCAGAGUGAGACGUGUUGUCUGUGCAAGUUGCUCUGAAAUCCGUGGAAGUCACACCCCACGUUAAAGUUUCAUAUGACAAAUGGCAAUUGCAUUACACACAAAUAUUUCUGUUUUUCAGAAAUUACAAGAUGCUUGAAGAGUUCCCUCUCCCUUUCCCCCUGAUGCAUCCUUCUCUCUCCUGACAUUGUUUACUCAGGGAAGCAACAAAGGCCCAUAUUUAGUGUAGAAGUAAGAAAAUUGGGCUUUUGGCUUGGUGCUGCUACUAAUUUACUGCAUGCUGUUGAUCAAGUAAUUUGAUUUCAUGGAUUUGGGCUUGCCAGAAGACAACAGGGAGCUGUGAAUAGAUUUAUUCAUGUAAAUUCCUUUAUCUUGUAAUAUUUUUUUGUAUGUAUUUUAAUAAUUUUUGGUACUUUUUUUUUUUUAAUUCUUCUGGUCAGCAAAGCACUGAAACUGUUGGUACCGUUUUCAGAUUUUGCAAGAAUUUGAAAUCCUUGUUAUUGAGGGACUGGGAUGCUUGCACUUAUGCUUUAAUUUCACACCUAAUUUAUCAUUCCUGAAGAUAAAGCUUGAAAACUUAUAGCUGAAAACACUUGGUAGAGAAAUUUUCCCGCUUGAUAGUCCAAAGGUUCAAAAUAAAAGUUAAGUAAUAUCGACUGAUAAGAAACACAGAGUCCAUGUCUGUCUUUCAUAAGUGACUAGAAACAUUGCCCCCCUUAUGAACUCAGAACUGGCACUGCAUGUUCUGGGAUUCCUGCCUUCAGAAUAAAGAAUGUCUUUGUCAUGAGCCCAAGAAAGAAAAGAGUGAAAGGAAAAAGUUUCAGGACAAAAUACAAACUUUUUCAGAUAUUUGAGAACUUGAAAGAUAGCAGAGAAAGGAAGGGCCAGCCUACUCACACACACACCAUGCAGCCCAAACGGAGGAAACUAAGGGCUGCAGAAGCUUGACAAGACUUUAGAGUUUUUCAUGGAAACAUUAGAAAGGUGGAAUUUUUCAUGACUCCUGAGUUUACCAAAAAAAAAAAAAAACCAAACCAAAGCCCAAACAAAAAAACCAACCAAACAAAAACCACAAAAACAAAAACAAACAAACAAAAGAACAAAAAAACCCCACCAGAUAACCUCACAAUAAUUUCCAGUAAAAUUGUUUAACUAUAAAAUUUAAAUACAAGACUACUAAAAAAAGUAACAUUACUUGCUAUCUCUCAAGUAUGUCUCAAUUACUAUUUACUAUUCUUGAGUUACAUGUACCUGUUAAUUUGUGCUGUGACUCUGUGAGAAGUAAUAGAGCUGAUGCAGCUUCACUCCCAAAACCCCUCAUAUUUUAAUUGGAAAAAUCUUGGUAUUCACUGUGGAACAAUCUAACCUUGAAAAACAAUCUUUUACCAGUUGGUCUUUAAUGCAUAAAACACUGCUCAUUUUCUGCAGUUCUGUCACCAAGGGGCACAUUAAUUUAGUUGCACAAUAAUUUAAUACAUCGAUCCAUUGAUUGAAGCAGAGAGGUUUUUGUUUAGCGGUUCCAAGAAAUCCACACAUUUCUUGCAGAAUCCGUAAAAAGACAGUUCUGGCUGUGGUUUAAGUAGGGGAAUUGCGGAUCAUUAGGGAAAGUUGCCCUUCAAAGCCGAUCGAUCCCGCCACACUGAGCACAGUGGGCAUUACAUCAGAAGAGAGGGAAGAGUGGCAGGGGGCAAUUAAUGGGGCAGAUAUGGGAGUGCCUUUCCUGAUUACCCCAUACCAGACAGUGGAUUUGGCCUUGCUGAGCCAGGCUGGUAGAAACAAGAACCCCGAUGAGAUACGGCUCUGUUAAUGUCAAGAAGUGCCACUUCCGAGCAGCAGGAGCAACUUUAUUGGAGCCAUCUGUUGUUUUGGAAGGCACGUGUGCGCACACACACACCCACUUCCUCCUCCCAAAGCAUUUAACCUUCCUCUUAGGGCUGAAAUCGCACAGCUAAUCCCUCCUUAAUCUUGGAAUGACGGGCUCUGAUGUUGUCAGCGAGUCCCAGCAGCUACUGAAAAUCAGGGGUACUGGAGUCGUUUGGGUGACGUGACAGUGAUGCAUCCUGGAGCAGCCACUUGAGAACAAAAUGCCCAUUCAUCCACUGUCAAAAUAAAGUUUGGCAAGAGCAGUGUGUGAUUGCUGGGAGGCUGACAGAGAAGGCUGGGGAACCUGUGUAGAGGUGAGAAAUCUGCACUCUGCCAGAUCUCACUGCUCUGCCCGACACAGGGAGUAGGAAAAGGCGGCUGAGUUUGGUCCCGGUGGAAACCUUAUUUUUCAGCAGGUAUAACCCAAUAGCCAUCUCAAAGGAAACAGCCCUUUGUUUCAGUUACAGCAGAGUGUGAGCUCUGUCCUGACUUGUCAAGUCUCUAGUGGUAUUUUUGUGAUGAUUCUUCCUUAACACACCAGAACCCUCAAGCUUCUCGUGGCUGUGUUAGAGGUGUGCACCAGAGCCCAGGCUGCCAGCAGAAAAUGUGGCACUGCUGAGCAUCCACCAAGACUGAAAUAGCUCCAGCUUCUUUGCAGAUUCUUCUGGCUACUUCCUGUCUACUUCCAGAGGGCCUGGAUCAAACAGACCUUUGCAAUGAUGGAAGAGGUAACAUCAGAGAAGAACAAGGACUUCUUGCUGCCCUUUCUUUCCUCCAUCCAUAUUUACUUCUACCUACAUGUGUGUGUGUUAUUAAAACUCUGCAUUUCACAUGGACAAACCCA